rnacentral:rRNA from 1 species
GACGAACGCUGGCGGCGUGCUUAACACAUGCAAGUCGAACGGUGAUGCGCCUUCCUUUUUGGUGGGUGUGGAUGAGUGGCGAACGGGUGAGUAACACGUGAGUAACCUGCCCCCUUCUUCUGGAUAACCGCGUGAAAGUGUGGCUAAUACGGGAUAUUCUGGGUCUGUCGCAUGAUGGGUCUGGGAAAGAUAUUGUUUCGGUGGGGGAUGGGCUCGCGGCCUAUCAGCUUGUUGGUGGGGUGAUGGCCUACCAAGGCGGUGACGGGUAGCCGGCCUGAGAGGGUGGACGGUCACACUGGGACUGAGACACGGCCCAGACUCCUACGGGAGGCAGCAGUGGGGAAUAUUGCACAAUGGGCGCAAGCCUGAUGCAGCGACGCCGCGUGAGGGAUGGAGGCCUUCGGGUUGUGAACCUCUUUCGCCAGUGAAGCAGGCCUGCCUCGUUUGUGGGUGGGUUGACGGUAGCUGGAUAAGAAGCGCCGGCUAACUACGUG